rnacentral:rRNA from 1 species
UACAGAGGUCUCAAGCGUUGUUCGGAUUCAUUGGGCGUAAAGGGUGUGUAGGUGGCGCGCUAAGUCGGGUGUGAAAUUUCGGAGCUUAACUCCGAAACUGCAUUCGAUACUGGCGUGCUUGAGGACUGGAGAGGAGACUGGAAUUCAUGGUGUAGCAGUGAAAUGCGUAGAGAUCAUGAGGAAGACCAGUGGCGAAGGCGGGUCUCUGGACAGUUCCUGACGCUGAGGCACGAAGGUCAGGGGAGCAAAACGGG